GAUGAAAGAUGGUGGCGUGCCUAAUACAUGCAAGUCGAGCGAACAGACGAGGAGCUUGCUCCUCUGACGUUAGCGGCGGACGGGUGAGUAACACGUGGAUAACCUACCUAUAAGACUGGGAUAACUUCGGGAAACCGGAGCUAAUACCGGAUAAUAUAUUGAACCGCAUGGUUCAAUAGUGAAAGACGGUUUUGCUGUCACUUAUAGAUGGAUCCGCGCCGCAUUAGCUAGUUGGUAAGGUAACGGCUUACCAAGGCGACGAUGCGUAGCCGACCUGAGAGGGUGAUCGGCCACACUGGAACUGAGACACGGUCCAGACUCCUACGGGAGGCAGCAGUAGGGAAUCUUCCGCAAAGGGCGAAAGCCUGACGGAGCAACGCCGCGUGAGUGAUGAAGGUCUUCGGAUCGUAAAACUCUGUUAUUAGGGAAGAACAAAUGUGUAAGUAACUAUGCACGUCUUGACGGUACCUAAUCAGAAAGCCACGGCUAACUACGUG
rnacentral:rRNA from 1 species